CUACGGGAGGCAGCAGUAGGGAAUUUUCCGCAAUGGGCGAAAGCCUGACGGAGCAACGCCGCGUGAGGGAUGAAGGUUUUCGGAUCGUAAACCUCUGUCUUCAGGGACGAUAAUGACGGUACCUGAGGAGGAAGCCACGGCUAACUACGUGCCAGCAGCCGCGGUAAUACGUAGGUGGCGAGCGUUGUCCGGAAUUACUGGGCGUAAAGGGCGUGUAGGCGGCCUUUUAAGUCAGACGUGAAAUCUCUAGGCUUAACCUAGAAAUUGCGUUUGAAACUGGAGGGCUUGAGGAUCGGAGAGGGCAGUGGAAUUCCCAGUGUAGCGGUGAAAUGCGUAGAUAUUGGGAGGAACACCAGUGGCGAAGGCGACUGCCUGGACGACACCUGACGCUGAGGCGCGAAAGCUAGGGGAGCAAACGGGAUUAGAUACCCUGGUAGUCC
rnacentral:rRNA from 1 species